rnacentral:rRNA from 1 species
UACUCGAGUGGCGAACGGGUGAGUAACACGUGGGUGAUCUGCCCUGCACUUCGGGAUAAGCCUGGGAAACUGGGUCUAAUACCGGAUAGGAGCCAUUUUUAGUGUGAUGGUUGGAAAGUUUUUUGGUGUAGGAUGAGCUCGCGGCCUAUCAGCUUGUUGGUGGGGUAAUGGCCUACCAAGGCGGCGACGGGUAGCCGGCCUGAGAGGGUGGACGGCCACAUUGGGACUGAGAUACGGCCCAG